UAGCUCAAUGGCAUAAGCACCUGCCUUGCAAGCAGGCGGUCCUGGGUUCGAUCCCAG
rnacentral:tRNA from 1 species